GGACCCGCACAAGUAGUGGAGCAUGUGGUUUAAUUCGAAGAUACGCGCAGAACCUUACCAACACUUGACAUGUUCGUCGCGACUUUAAGAGAUUAAAGUUUUCGGUUCGGCCGGACGAAACACAGGUGCUGCAUGGCUGUCGUCAGCUCGUGUCGUGAGAUGUUGGGUUAAGUCCCGCAACGAGCGCAACCCUCACUUUUAGUUGCCAUCAUUAAGUUGGGCACUCUGAAAGAACUGCCAGUGAUAAGCUGGAGGAAGGUGGGGAUGACGUCAAGUCCUCAUGGCCCUUACGUGUUGGGCUACACACGUGCUACAAUGGUAUCUACAACAGGAAGCGAAACUGCGAGGUUAAGCAAAUCCUUAAAAGAUACCUCAGUUCGGAUUGCACUCUGCAACUCGAGUGCAUGAAGCUGGAAUUACUAGUAAUCGUGGAUC
rnacentral:rRNA from 1 species